AGGUGCAAAAUUGUCAUAUUUGGAGGGAUAGAUGGAUUCUCAACAAAGUACCACACAUUGGUCAACAGAUGGCGCUAAAUUUGCACAUGCGCAAAUGUAAAGCAGGUUCAACGAUCACGCUUCUGCCCUCUCGAGACUGCGCCAUUCAAAAAUCGCUGUGCGAACGGGGACACGCGAUAAGUUUUAUUAUUAUCUGGACACGCAGAGUUUUGGAGUCCUGCCAUACAUGUGGCUGUGCAGAGAUUGUGGAUCUUCACACACAUCUAGGUCAAAGCUUUUAAAACACCUCAGAGUGCAAGCAGGGACUCCGGCAAGACUAGCUAUGACAGCAUAACUAAAAGGGAGAGCCAGAAGCUAACACAGACAUGAGGGAACCCUGGGACAUAAGGCAGCCAGCCACUCCACCGUUGACAAACCCGAGUGAACGCUCAUAUAAACUCCAUGGAGCAAGUCAUGGAACUUGCGCAGCCAUGAGACAGUAAGUUGUAUGUUUAAGGACUGCUCAUUUAAAACAAAUGUGUAUGGCACAUUUAAAUUGCACAAGAGUGGAAAACAUAGUCAGUGUUCGUUGACAGAUUUUAAGGAGGGAAUAGUGAAAACAGACAGCUCACAAGAGUUAAGAGGAAUAUCUGAUGACACUCUUUCAAGUGAAGAUACAGAAACACCUAUGUUAGAGGAGGAUUCCAAUAGUAUUGAUACAGGAGAGG